CGUGGCGGACGGGUGAGUAACGCGUGGGUAACCUGCCUCAUACAGGGGGAUAACGGUUAGAAAUGACUGCUAAUACCGCAUAAGCGCACAGUACCACAUGGUACGGUGUGAAAAACUCCGGUGGUAUGAGAUGGACCCGCGUCUGAUUAGCUAGUUGGUGGGGUAACGGCCCACCAAGGCGACGAUCAGUAGCCGACCUGAGAGGGUGACCGGCCACAUUGGGACUGAGACACGGCCCAG
rnacentral:rRNA from 1 species